rnacentral:rRNA from 14 species
ACAAUUCAAACUGAUAUUAAAAGUAGGUUAUAAUCAUCCAAUAAAUCUAAAUGAAAAGAUUAUUGCUAAAGAAUAAAAGUUACGCUGGGGAUAACAGGCUGGUUCAAACUGAAAGUCAUAUUGAUGUUUGAGUUCGGUUCCUCGAUGUCGACUUAAUGUAGCUUGGUAGUUGCAUAUGCUAUCUAGAGUUGGACUGUUCGUCCAUUAAAACAUUACAUUAGUUGGGUUAAUUACGUCGUAAGACAGUAAGGCUUCUAUC